AGUUGUAAUUUGAAGAUUGCGUCUUGGAGGCGACCGUGUCUAUGUUCCUUGGAACAGGACGUCACAGAGGGUGAGAAUCCCGUGCGGCACGGCCCCCGGCUCCUUAUAAGGCGCUCUCGACGAGUCGAGUUGUUUGGGAAUGCAGCUCAAAGUGGGUGGUAAAUUCCAUCUAAAGCUAAAUACAGGCGAGAGACCGAUAGCGAACAAGUACAGUGAUGGAAAGAUGAAAAGCACUUUGAAAAGAGAGUGAAACAGCACGUGAAAUUGUUGAAAGGGAAGGGCAUGCCGUCAGAUUGUCAGUGUGGGUAAGAAGCGGGGUACAAAGACUGUGGAACGUGGCCCUCGGGUGUUAUAGCCGCAGUUCAUGCCCCGUCUCUUUCCGAGGCCUGCUUUGAGGACACCGACGUAAUGACGGUACGCCGCCCGUCUUGAACCACGGACC
rnacentral:rRNA from 1 species